UACGUAGGGACCAAGCGUUGUCCGGAAUCAUUGGGCGUAAAGAGCGUGUAGGCGGCCUGUUAAGUCUUGCGUGAAAUCUCGGGGCUCAACCCCGAGCGGUCGUGAGAAACUGGCAGGCUAGAGUGCGGGAGAGGAGAGUGGAAUUCCUGGUGUAGCGGUGAAAUGCGCAGAUAUCAGGAAGAACACCCGUGGCGUAGGCGGCUCUCUGGACCGAGACUGACGCUGAGGCGCGAAAGCGUGGGGAGCAAACAGG
rnacentral:rRNA from 1 species